UACGUAGGGUGCGAGCGUUAAUCGGAAUUACUGGGCGUAAAGCGUGCGCAGGCGGUCUGUUAAGACCGAUGUGAAAUCCCCGGCUUAACCUGGGAACUGCAUUUGUGACUGCAUUGCUGGAGUGCGGCAGAGGGGGAUGGAAUUCCGCGUGUAGCAGUGAAAUGCGUAGAUAUGCGGAGGAACACCGAUGGCGAAGGCAAUCCCCUGGGCCUGCACUGACGCUCAUGCACGAAAGCGUGGGGAGCAA
rnacentral:rRNA from 1 species